rnacentral:rRNA from 1 species
AUACGUAGGGGGCGAGCGUUGUCCGGAAUGACUGGGCGUAAAGGGCGUGUAGGCGGUUGUCUAAGCCUGGUGUGAAAGUCCUGGUUUCAAGGCGGGGAUAGCAUUGGAUACUGGAUGACUUGAGGGCGGGAGAGGGAAGUGGAAUUCCCAGUGUAGCGGUGAAAUGGGUAGAGAUUGGGAGGAACAACAGUGGCGAAGGCGACUUACUGGGCAGUAACUGACGCUGAGGCGCGAAAGCGUGGGGAGCGAACAGGAUUAGAUACCCUGGUAGUCCACGCGGUAAACGAUGAAUGCUAGGUGUUGCGGGUAUCGACCCCUGCAGUGCCGGAGUAAACACAAUAAGCAUUCCGCCUGGGGAGUACGGCCGCAAGGUUGAAACUCAAAUGAAUUGACGGGG